CCGCACAGUAGUGUUUGGUCUUGCAUUGUGAUGGCGUCUGAGUGUUGGCUUGGUCUCUGUUGGCUUGCUACAUAUCUAGAAAGCUCCAUGAUUUGUGCUAAGCUCAAAAUAUCAGUAGAUUUGUUGUGGUAGUGCCUUAACAGGAUUUGAGACUUCUCCAUUCAGGAAAAGACAAGUUUGGUAGAUACAAAAAUUACAAGAUCGCAAGUUUGGAUUGAAGGUCACAAGAAAAAAAAAUGG